rnacentral:tmRNA from 1 species
GGGGAUGUACUGGUUUCGACGGGGGUAGAUGUUGUGUGAUAAGCGAGCUGGGAUUCCAUCAACCCCAUAAAACGGUGGAAACGCGUUAUAAACGCAGAAGAUUCUUACGCUUUAGCAGCUUAAUUGCUAACGUUCCUUUUCUUCAU